UACGAAGGGGGCUAGCGUUGCUCGGAAUCACUGGGCGUAAAGGGUGCGUAGGCGGGUCUUUAAGUCAGGGGUGAAAUCCCGAGGCUCAACCUCGGAACUGCCUUUGAUACUGGGGAUAUCGAGUCCGGGAGAGGUGAGUGGAGCUGCGAGUGUAGAGGUGAAAUUCGUAGAUAUUCGCAAGAACACCAGUGGCGAAGGCGGCUCACUGGCCCGGUACUGACGCUGAGGUGCGAAAGCGUGGGGAGCAAACAGG
rnacentral:rRNA from 1 species